ensembl:lncRNA
GCAGAAAAUUGAGGAGAAGUUGCGGAAGAUUAAAGAAAUUAAACAUUCUGCAAGGUUUAACAAAAAUGUCUUUGACAGAAGCAAUACGGAGCUACUUGAGCUCACAGAGGAAAAGCAUAAAGAAACAGAGAGACGAGGAGAAGAGCUCAUCAGAGAGCUUGAUGAAGAGAUUGUGGAGCUAAAGAAAAGACAAACUGAACUGGAGCAGCUCUCACAUCCAAUGGAUUUUACACAAAUUAUUAGCCUCUUGCGCAACCCCAUAUACACCAACCGCUCAAAAAACAUCAGCAUCGGUGCUUUUGAACAUGGAGGUAUUCUGAGGAAGACCAUAUCACAUCUUCAGAGUGUACUGGAUGAGAAAAUGAGAGAAACUGGUAAAUAUUCCCCAUGUAACCAAUCAUAUUUACACCAUCAUUCACUCUUUAAUCAGACAGAAAUGCAUUUUUUCAUUCUUGUUGUAGUUGGCAGAGAGCUGCGGAGUUUACAACAUUAUGCAGGUAUGGAAAAUCUGACUACUAAAAGAUACAUUUAGUACGUAAAAAAUUAAGUUAAAGUCUAAGGGCCCGUUCAUACUCUAGUCUAAGAUAUAACUAGGUAACAAUACAGCUAACUAUAUUAGCAUCCACACUAAUGAAAGAUAACUGUUUAUUAUAAGCAUGCGCUGCUGUUACAUCAUCUGCCGCUUUAAAUGCUCAAGUUCUUUAAAGCAGGAAUGAUUCUG